rnacentral:tRNA from 1 species
GGGCGCGUAGCUCAACGGUAGAGCAUCUGUCUUAUACACAGAUGGUUCUAGGUUCGAAUCCUAGCGCGCCCA